CAGUGUUACUAAACUGCAUGCUAAAAGUUUCUGUUGACUGUUAGAAUGGUGGCUUGUAAUUGGGGGUAUCUGGCUAGGAUUUGACAUUUAAAUAUUUACAAGUGCAUUAGGUCUCUUAGGUUUAGUUUAAGACCAACAUGAGCGAGUGAGAUAAACUCGACUAGCUUAGGUUAAGGCAUCAGGCGUGAAUUCCGUGGAAUGCGUGCGUGCACUAGACCCCUCAGGAUCGGAUCCCAAACCUUUUUUCAGUACCAAAUGUGAAAUUACCCCACCUUACCACAUCGUUGAAGAAUUAUGGUGGAUAUCUUGGGCAAAUGUGCAGUACUAUGAGGGAUAUCUUGGGCAAAUGUGCAUUUUCUUGGUGGAUAUCUUGGGCAAAUGUGCAAUACUAUUAGGGAUAUCUUGGGCAAAUGUGCAAUAUGAUGAGGGAUAUCUUGGCAAAUAUCUUGGAUAAAUUUAUCUUAAAUUGCUAAAGAACAAUGUUGUAAGGUUGGUGGAUAUUUAUAUUAGCGAUAAAGUGGGGGUUCCUUGCGCAUAGGAACGAAGUAAGGUUGGCUGAUGGAGUGUAACAAUCUAACAAUAUAGACUUUGAUGGCUUGAACCAUGGAUAAUAAAAUAAAUGGAUAGGAAACUAGCUGACGUGACCUAUCUUUUCAAUGGGCUGAUGGCGUGAUUGGAUGUUCAAACCUAGUUGCAAACCAAAUUCUCAAAAACGGCAUGUUUAGCAAUAAUACAGCUAAACAUUUUAGUCAAAGAGCAAAUGAAUAUAUAACUACGCCAUUCUACGAUGAAAUCUCUAAGUAUUCCCAGUCAAUUUUAGCAAAUAUUUCAAGCACUAAACAGUGAAAAAUGCAUCCCAAAUUUCGUUAAAAUUGGGGACGCCAAUUUCGUAGCUAC
rnacentral:lncRNA from 1 species